UACGUAGGGGGCUAGCGUUGUCCGGAAUCAUUGGGCGUAAAGAGCGUGUAGGCGGCCCGGUAAGUCCGCUGUGAAAGUCGGGGGCUCAACCCUCGAAUGCCGGUGGAUACUGUCGGGCUAGAGUCCGGAAGAGGAGAGUGGAAUUCCCGGUGUAGCGGUGAAAUGCGCAGAUAUCGGGAAGAACACCAAUGGCGAAGGCAGCUCUCUGGGACGGUACUGACGCUGAGACGCGAAAGCGUGGGGAGCGAACAGG
rnacentral:rRNA from 1 species